rnacentral:pre_miRNA from 1 species
GAAAAAAUACGUGGACAGGAAGGUAUACACGACGUUUCGGCCCGCCCGAAGCGUCGUGUAUACCUUCCUGUCCACGUAUUUUUU